rnacentral:misc_RNA from 1 species
GAUGAAGAACGCAGCGAAAUGCGAUACGUAAUGUGAAUUGCAAAUUCAGUGAAUCAUCGAGUCUUUGAACGCACAUUGCGCCCCCUGGUAUUCCGGGGGGCAUGCCUGUCCGAGCGUCAUUGCUGCCCUCAAGCACGGCUUGUGUGUUGGGCCCCGUCCUCCGAUCCCGGGGGACGGGCCCGAAAGGCAGCGGCGGCUCCGCGUCCGGUCCUCGAGCGUAUGGGGCUUUGUCACCCGCUCUGUAGGCCCGGCCGGCGCUUGCCGAUCAACCCAAAUUUUUAUCCAGGUUGACCUCGGAUCAGGUAGGGAUACCCGCUGAACUUAAGCAUAUCAAUAAGCGGAGGA